UACGGCAGCUAGCUCUCUGCAACUCUCACAUGGUCGCCCACUGAAGCUAAGCAGGGCUGUGCCCGGUCAGUACCUGGAUGGGAGACCACAUGGGAAAGCUAGGUUGCUGCCGGAA
rnacentral:rRNA from 1 species